AUUGAACGCUGGCGAAAUGUUUUACACAUGCAAGUCGAACGGCAGCACGGACUUCGGUCUGGUGGCGAGUGGCGAACGGGUGAGUAAUGUAUCGGAACGUGCCCAGUCGUGGGGGAUAACGUAGUGAAAAUUACGCUAAUACCGCAUACGAUCUAUGGAUGAAAGCGGGGGAUCGCAAGACCUCGCGCGAUUGGAGCGGCCGAUAUCAGAUUAGGUAGUUGGUGGGGUAAAGGCCCACCAAGCCAACGAUCUGUAGCUGGUCUGAGAGGACGACCAGCCACACUGGAACUGAGACACGGUCCAGACUCCUACGGGAGGCAGCAGUGGGGAAUUUUGGACAGUGGGCGAAAGCCUGAUCCAGCCAUUCCGCGUGCAGGAUGAAGGCCCUCGGGUUGUAAACUGCUUUUGUACAGAACGAAAAGGUUUCUACUAAUACUAGGAGCUCAUGACGGUACUGUAAGAAUAAGCACCGGCUAACUACGUGCCAGCCGCCGCAGUAA
rnacentral:rRNA from 1 species